ACCAGCCGAAGUUCUAGUAAAACUGGACGAGAAACUCCAGAAAAUGGAGAAACUGCAAUUGGUGCUGAAGAUUCUGAAAAAAUAAAUGAAAAUUCAGACAAAGAAGCAGAAGUAGAAGAGUCUUCUGAGAAAAUAAAAGUCCAGAUAGCACCCAAAGUGGAGGAAGAGCAGGACCUCAAAUUUCAGAUUGGAGAACUGGCAAAUACCCUGACAAGUAAAUUUGAAUUCCUAGGGAUUAACAGACAGUCCAUCUCCAACUUCCACAUGCUGCUCUUACAGACCGAGACUCGGAUUGCAGACUGGCGGGAAGGGGCUCUCAAUGGAAAUUAUCUAAAACGAAAACUUCAGGAUGCUGCAGAACAGCUAAAACAGUAUGAAAUAAACGCCACUCCUAAAGGCUGGUCCUGCCACUGGGACAGGACCUCUGGAAGCAACUACUCCUGAUUAACCUCGGUGAAGUUAAGGAAAACUUCGUGACUGAAGAA
rnacentral:lncRNA from 1 species